GACGAACGCUGGCGGCGUGCUUAACACAUGCAAGUCGAACGGAAAGGCCCUUCGGGGUCCUCGAGUGGCGAACGGGUGAGUAACACGUGGGUGAUCUGCCCUGCACUUUGGGAUAAGCCUGGGAAACUGGGUCUAAUACCGAAUAGGACCACGCGCUUCAUGGUGUGUGGUGGAAAGCUUUUGCGGUGUGGGAUGGGCCCGCGGCCUAUCAGCUUGUUGGUGGGGUAAUGGCCCACCAAGGCGACGACGGGUAGCCGGCCUGAGAGGGUGACCGGCCACACUGGGACUGAGAUACGGCCCAGACUCCUACAGGAGACAGCAGUGGGGAAUAUUGCGCAGUGGGCGCAAGCCUGAUGCAGCGACGCCGCGUGUGGGAUGACGGCCAUCGGGUUGUAAACCUCUGUCAAUAGAGACGAAGCGAAAGUGACGGUACCUAUAGAAGAAGCACCGGCCAACUACGUG
rnacentral:rRNA from 1 species